rnacentral:rRNA from 1 species
CCCGCUGAACUUAAGCAUAUUAAUAAGCGGAGGAAAAGAAGCUAACAAGGAUUCCCGUAGUAACUGCGAGUGAAGUGGGAAAAGCUCAAGCUUAAAAUCUGGGGCGGUCUACGUCUCUGAAUUGUAGUUUUGUGAACGGCUUCACGGGUAGGCUGCUGCAAUAUAAGUUCCCUGGAACGGGAUGCCAAAGAAGGUGAUAGCCCUGUGCAUGAUUGCAGAGUACCGGCUUGCCAAUACGUGCUGCUAGUUCAGAGAGUCGGGUUGUUUGGGAGUACAGCCCAAAGUGGGAGGUAAAUUCCUUCUAAAGCUAAAUAAUGGCGAGAGACCGAUAGCGAACAAGUACCGUGAGGGAAAGAUGCAAAGAACUUUGAAAAGAGAGUUAAAAGUGCUUGAAAUUGUUAAAAGGGAAGCGAUUGGAAGCAGUACAUGUUUGCCAUCAACUCACUUAUUAUUGCAGUGUUGGUGUGGUGUCGUUGAGUAAUCCAUUUGUGGUAUCUCGGCAUUAUAUUCAGGCAUUGUAUUAGUAGGGCAUUUUGGUGGUAAAUGAGUCAAUAUCAGUGAGAUGAGUGGGGAGAUAGUUGGGAGAAGGUGAUGUGGUGGUAGCUCUCGGGUUAUCAUUGUGUGUUAAACUCUGAAUGAAUACCACUUGUCUGACUGAGGCAAUUUAUGAUUGAUAACUGGCGCCUUCUUGGCGGAGUAAGGGUGGGACUGAGUUGUGUUGGCGGUGAGGACAGCUUGCUGUGCUUGUUGACCAAUGUGAUUCAUUGCCUACUACACUACAUGCUAGUUAGAGAUAUUGACCGAAUGUUUCCAAUCGUCCCGUCUUGAAACACGG